CUCCUACGGGAGGCAGCAGUGGGGAAUCUUGGACAAUGGGCGCAAGCCUGAUCCAGCCAUGCCGCGUGAGUGAAGCAGGCCCUAGGGUCGUAAAGCUCUUUCAACUGUGAAGAUAAUGACGGUAGCAGUAGAAGAAACCCCGGCUAACUCCGUGCCAGCAGCCGCGGUAAUACGGAGGGGGUUAGCGUUGUUCGCAAUUACUGGGCGUCAAGCGCGCGUAGGCGGAUUAGUAAGUCAGAGGUGAAAUCCCAGGGCUCAACCCUGGAACUGCCUUUGAUACUGCUAGUCUUGAGGUCGAGAGAGGUGAGUGGAAUUCCAAGUGUAGAGGUGAAAUUCGUAGAUAUUUGGAGGAACACCAGUGGCGAAGGCGGCUCACUGGCUCGAUUCUGACGAUGAGGUGAGAAAG
rnacentral:rRNA from 1 species